GAUGAACGCUGGCGGCGUGCCUAACACAUGCAAGUCGAACGGACGGACGCGAAGCUUGCUGCUCGGAGGGUAGCGGCGGCCGGGGGGGUAACAAGUGGAUAGCCUCCCUAUCAGACUUGGUUAACUUCGGGAAACCGGAGCUAAUACCGCAUGAUAUUUUGAACCGCUUGGUUCAAGGGUGAGGCACGGUCUUGCUGUCACUUGUAGAUGGAUCCGCGCUGCAUUAGCUAGUUGGUGAGGUAACGGCUUACCAAGGCGACGAUGGAUAGCCGGCCUGAGAGGGUGAUCGGCCACACUGGAACUGAGACACGGUCCAGACGCCUACGGGAGGCAGCAGUAGGGAAUCUUCCGCAAUGGGCGAAAGCCUGACGGAGCAACGCCGCGUGAGGGAUGAAGGUCUUCGGAGCGUAAAACGCUUCUAUUAGGGAAGAACAAAUGUGUAAUUAACUGUGCACAGCUUGACGGUACCUAAUCAGAAAGCCCCGGCUAACUACGUG
rnacentral:rRNA from 1 species